AUUGAACGCUGGCGGCAUGCUUUACACAUGCAAGUCGAACGGUAACAGGUUAAGCUGACGAGUGGCGAACGGGUGAGUAAUGCAUCGGAACGUGCUCGGUCGUGGGGGAUAACGCAGCGAAAGUUGCGCUAAUACCGCAUACGAUCUGAGGAUGAAAGCGGGGGACCGUAAGGCCUCGCGCGAUCGGAGCGGCCGAUGUCAGAUUAGGUAGUUGGUGGGGUAAAGGCUCACCAAGCCAACGAUCUGUAGCUGGUCUGAGAGGACGACCAGCCACACUGGGACUUAGACACGGCCCAGACUCCUACGGGAGGCAGCAGUGGGGAAUUUUGGACAAUGGGCGAAAGCCUGAUCCAGCAAUGCCGCGUGCAGGAAGAAGGCCUUCGGGUUGUAAACUGCUUUUGUACGGAGCGAAAAGGUCUCCUCUAAUACAGGGGGCUCAUGACGGUACCGUAAGAAUAAGCACCGGCUAACUACGUGCCAGCAGCCGCGGUAA
rnacentral:rRNA from 1 species